rnacentral:rRNA from 1 species
AGCUCCAAUAGCGUAUAUUAAAGUUGUUGCAGUUAAAAAGCUCGUAGUUGAAUUUCUGGCCGGUCCUGUCUUUGGCUCUCUGAGUCAGUUCAGGACCUGGUCAUCCGUAUGGGAAGCUAGCUCGGCCUUCACUGGUCGGCUAGUGGAUCAUACACUUUACUUUGAAAAAAUUAGAGUGUUUCAAGCAGGCAAUUGCUUGGAUACUACAGCAUGGAAUAAUGGAAUAGGACUUUGACCUAUUU